rnacentral:lncRNA from 1 species
UCUUGCCGAUGUGUUCCCCGUCUAACACUACGUUCUUCCGUAGGUGGGGUUCACUUUUGAGUACGUCCCUCGUCUAACACUACGUUUCCGUAGGUGAGGUUCACUCUUGCCGAUGUGUUCCCCGUCUAACACUACGUUCUUCCCUAGGUGGGGUUCACUUUUGAGUACGUCCCUCGUCUAACACUACGUUUCCGUAGGUGAGGUUCACUCUUGCCGAUGUGUUCCCCGUCUAACCUACGUUCUUCCGUAGGUGGGGUUCACUUUUGAGUACGUCCCUCGUCUAACACUACGUUUCCGUAGGUGAGGUUCACUCUUG